GCCCGUGUGGCGCAAUUGGUUAGCGCGCCAGACUUUUAAUCUGGAUGUUGCGAGUUCGAGUCUCGCCGUGGGCG